rnacentral:rRNA from 1 species
UACGUAGGGUGCAAGCGUUAAUCGGAAUUACUGGGCGUAAAGCGUGCGCAGGCGGCUAUGCAAGACAGAUGUGAAAUCCCCGGGCUCAACCUGGGAACUGCAUUUGUGACUGCAUGGCUAGAGUACGGCAGAGGGGGAUGGAAUUCCGCGUGUAGCAGUGAAAUGCGUAGAUAUGCGGAGGAACACCGAUGGCGAAGGCAAUCCCCUCGGGCCUGUACUGACGCUCAUGCACGAAGCGUGGGGAGCGAAACAAGGAUAGAAACCUAACGUAGUCCAGACCCAAGGUCCUCUGACCGU